rnacentral:lncRNA from 1 species
GCUUGUCACAGCUGAGCCACCACUCACAACUUUCUUUUAGAAGGUUGAAUUUCCUUGUUAUGAUAGUUAUGAGAGUGGCGGGUAACUGAAUCCAGAGGUUUUUUAGCAUUUGAAGGUGAAUUAGGCAUGUAAAUUUCUCACAAACUGAAAAACACACAUCUUUUAUUUUAGAAAAUGAAUUGAAUACAGAUGUCAUCAGCUCAAAAACUUUUUCAGAUAAGGAAGGAGGUAAAUUAGCUGCUUGAAGGUGGCAACUCUUAUUAUUGGAACAAUGAA